AGGAACAUGAAGGCAUGUCAUUUUGGAUUCCAGUUCUGGCAUCAGAAGAGGAAACCAAAGGAGACCACAGACGGCCCAGGAGCAAGGGGCAACCAGAUACAGGUACCUGUGUUGCCCUCUUACUGCCUCUGGAGGUCCUGCGGAAGCCCCUCUCGGAUCCUGGCUCCCAGUAUUUGCAGUAUGAGUUUUCAGACUUUGAGCGUUUCUUUUUCUGGACUGGGUCUGAAAGCAACCAGAUUUGAACUGGGUUCAGAGCUGGACUGGGUCUGCCUUAACCUAGUUUGGGGCCAGUGUGAAGCCUCUGGUAAAUAAACUGUGUUUGAAUGCUGAACAGGUAAAUUAAUCUUACCAAAGGUAAUCUGAAUUUAUGGUGCCACAGUGGGGAAAUUUUGACCUACAUAAACAUAUCCACUUAUGAGAUGCUCUAUAGAAAAAGGGAUAUUGGGGACGCCUGGGUGGCUCAGUGGGCUAAGCAGCUGCCUUCGGCUCAGGUCAUGAUCCCAGCGUCAUGGGAUCGAGUCCCACAUCGGGCUCCUUGCCCCACAGGGAGCCUGCUUCUCCCUCUGCCUCUGCCUGCCACUCUGUCUGCCUGUGCUCGCUCUCACUUGCUCUCUCUCUGACAAAUAAAUAAAUAAAAUAUUAAAAAAAAAAAGAAAGAAAGAAAGAAAAAGGGGUAUUGGCCAAGUGCUCUCUAUAAGGGUAGAAGAGAAAUCAUCUUUCUUCCUCUAUAGUUUCUGGUGACCAAGAUGAGAUUCACAGGGACAUCCCACUCACUCCACAGCAUGCAGAUGGGAUCUGGUAAAAACUGACAGAACUCAGCAAAAAGUAAGAAUUUUUAUUGAGACUUUAUACCAGCUCUCCCAGAUUUUAUCUCUGUGGUGUGUGGUUGAGAAAGGAAGAUAAAAUUUCAUUUUGUUCCUUCCUUUCCAAAUUUAAAUUGUAAGGAAAAACAUUUGCAAGAAUUAGAUUUUUGGACCAUGACUCGUAAAUUUGCUUUUGGGUACCAAUUGGUUAUUGAUCCUUUCUCAAAAAGUUAUUGCCUUUUUAUUUGUCUUGUGCGCAGAGAACUUAGCUUGGCUUUCUCCUGCCUGGGAUGUGUACGUUCUUUUGUGUGCAGACAGCUCAAACCUUCAUGUUGGGGGUUCCAAAGUAUGGCUGGACAGAAACGUUAGAUGCACCCCACUUGCCACUAGGGCCCUACUAACUAUUAUUCACUCUCAGGGGAAUUGCCCAAGCUUCAGUUUCUUUUGGUUAUUUUUUAGAAAGGCUCUGGAUCUUGUGAGGGUAGUAUCUUUUGCACUCCCUGCGGGGAUACUUGUUAUACCCAUGGGAUUUUCUAAUAUGGCCAGGAAUUAUUAUUGUUUGUCCAG
rnacentral:lncRNA from 1 species